GAGAGAGAGAGAGAGAGAGAGGUGAAGCCAAGAUGUACAGGGAUGUUUCAAGCUGCAACACGUAUAACUAUGGCGAUGCUUUGUAUUGGGAUGCGCGCUAUGUGCAGGAGGCCUGUAGCUUCGAUUGGUACCAGCGUUACUCUUCUCUUCGCCCCUUUGUUCGUCGCUAUAUUCCCACUUCCUCUCGCGUUCUCAUGGUUGGCUGUGGCAAUGCUCUUAUGUCAGAGGACAUGGUCAAGGAUGGAUAUGAAGAUAUAAUGAAUGUUGACAUUUCAUCAGUGGCCAUUGAAAUGAUGAAAGGAAAAUAUGAGUAUAUCCCUCAGCUCAAAUGUAUCCUGUUAAAAGAACUGUUUCAAUUUCUGAUUUGAAACUUAAACUUGUGUUUUCUAAAGUAAUCUUAUCUCUAUCUUUGUAAGUUUCCUAUAUGAUUAAUUUUAGACAUGCAAAUGGAUGUUAGAGACAUGAGCUUCUUCCCAGAUGAGUCUUUUGAUAGUGUCAUCGACAAGGGUAUGGUCUUCCCUUUUUCAUUAGAUGCUAUUUAUGAUGUAGCUGACUUUCAAUUAAGUUGGUGCGUUAUAUGUUGACUUUGUUCUUGCUGCUGAAUUUCACCCCCAUGGACUUGUGGCUUACUGAUCCAUUAUCCAUGAUCCAGGAACUCUUGAUUCCUUGAUGGUAUGAUGUGUUUUCAAAUGUUAUCAUAAUUCCUUUUUUCAUCUUUGGCCUUUCCUAAUUAUUAAUACUCUUAUUGCUAAUAUUAUUUAUUAUAAUCAUGUAUUUAGUGUGGAAAUGAUGCUCCAAUUAGUGCUGCUCAGAUGUUGGGGGAAGUGAGCAGGUUGUGCUAGGAAAAACCUUUGCUAGUGAUAUUUCUGAUAAUGUUUGCAUUCAAGAUUUGAUACUUUAUUCUUCUUAUUCUACAAUUUGAUUAUGCAUGCGUGUGCCUACGUGUAUUUACAAAAUCAUUGCAGUAUUCCUCAUUAAUCCUUUUUCCCUCUUGGCUUGCAGGCUUCUUAAACCUAGAGGAAUUUAUAUGUUGGUAACCAUAUACCCAAAGAUAAAAGUUUUAUUAUUUUCACAUCUGCCUUUGCUUCUGAAAGUCCUUAAACCACAAUUUGAUUUAUUAUUAUUUUUUUAAUUCAGAUAACCUAUGGUGAUCCUACAGUAAGGAUGCUUCAUUUAAGAAGGCCUGUGUACAAUUGGAAAAUUGUAUUGUACAUAAUACCCAGACCAGGAUUUGUAAGGCCUAUGGGUAGUUCAUCGCCAUGCUCAAAUUCGGAACCUGUUCCUGUCACUGAGAAGGGUUUGCAUCUAGCAGAUUUUGUAUUGGAAGAUCCAGAUUUUCACUUUAUAUAUGUGUGUAAAAAGAUGAAUGAAACAACAGAGCUCUAUAACAUACCGGCCUACCCAUUGAUGGCUGAUGUUUUGUAGCCUUGAGUGACAGUAAGGCACUAAGGUAGUAUGUACCUUGUACAAGCUUUGAUAACUAUUUGUCUUGUACCAUAAGGACUAGUCAUUGGGGAGUAUUUGUUGCAAAAGAGGGAUUCUGUUAUUAUUAUUUAUCUGGCAUAUCAGGUUGGAAUUUGGACAUGAAGAAGGGAAUGAACAAGAAUGAACCCUAUCAGAGAUGAGUCCGUUAAAUAAGCACUUCAGUUUAUCACUAUUCGUGUGCCAGUGGAGUGCCUUUUGAUUCCCAGUUUAACAUUUUAGUUUGACUCUACUUUUGAAGAGUGCAAACAUGCUUAAUUUCAUUGUAGAACUUGUUUCAAUAAAGGAACCUCAUAGCUUGGUCCCCUUUAAUUUGUUAAGAUGAUUGUUGAUGUACAUUUAGCUUAUUCCUUCCGUAAGUAUUGC
rnacentral:misc_RNA from 1 species